GUAGGUGAACCUGCGGAAGGAUCAUUACACAAAAGGAUACCCUCACCGGUAUACCCCACCCGUGUCUAUUUACUCUUGUUGCUUUGGCAGGCCGUGGUCUCCCACUGCGGGCUCUGCCUGCAAGUGCCUGCCAGAGGACCAAACUCUGAAUUUUAGUGAUGUCUGAGUACUAUAUAAUAGUUAAAACUUUCAACAACGGAUCUCUUGGUUCUG
rnacentral:misc_RNA from 1 species